rnacentral:rRNA from 1 species
AAUUCGAUUGAGUUUGAUCAUGGCUCAGGAUGAACGCUGGCGGUAUGCUUAACACAUGCAAGUCGAACGGAAUCCUUAGGGAUUUAGUGGCGGACGGGUGAGUAACGCGUGAGAAUCUGCCUUCAGGUCUGGGACAACCACUGGAAACGGUGGCUAAAACCGGAUGUGCAGCAAUGUGAAAUAUUUAUAGCCUGGAGAUGAGCUCGCGUCUGAUUAGCUAGUAGGUGUGGUAAGAGCGCACCUAGGCGACGAUCAGUAGCUGGUCUGAGAGGAUGAUCAGCCACACUGGGACUGAGACACGGCCCAGACUCCUACGGGAGGCAGCAGUGGGGAAUUUUCCGCAAUGGGCGAAAGCCUGACGGAGCAAUACCGCGUGAGGGAGGAAGGCUCUUGGGUUGUAAACCUCUUUUCUCAGGGAAGAACACAAUGACGGUACCUGAGGAAUAAGCAUCGGCUAACUCCGUGCCAGCAGCCGCGGUAAUACGGAGGAUGCAAGCGUUAUCCGGAAUGAUUGGGCGUAAAGCGUCCGCAGGUGGCUAUGUAAGUCUGCUGUUAAAUAGUGAGGCUCAACCUCAUAAAGGCAGUGGAAACUACAUGGCUUGAGUGCGUUCGGGGCAGAGGGAAUUCCUGGUGUAGCGGUGAAAUGCGUAGAGAUCAGGAAGAACACCGGUGGCGAAAGCGCCCUGCUAGGCCGCAACUGACACUGAGGGACGAAAGCUAGGGGAGCGAAUGGGAUUAGAUACCCCAGUAGUCCUAGCCGUAAACGAUGGAUACUAGGCGUGGCUUG